rnacentral:rRNA from 1 species
CCUACGGGAGGCAGCAGUGAGGAAUAUUGGACAAUGGGCGCAAGCCUGAUCCAGCCAUGCCGCGUGCAGGAUGAAGCAUCUAUGGUGUGUAAACUGCUUUUAUACAGGAAGAAACCUCCCGACGUGUCGGGAAUUGACGGUACUGUAAGAAUAAGGAUCGGCUAACUCCGUGCCAGCAGCCGCGGUAAUACGGAGGAUCCAAGCGUUAUCCGGAAUCAUUGGGUUUAAAGGGUCCGUAGGCGGGCCAGUAAGUCAGUGGUGAAAUCUCUCCGCUCAACGGGGAAAUGGCCAUUGAUACUGCUGGUCUUGAAUUAUUAGGAAGUAACUAGAAUAUGUAGUGUAGCGGUGAAAUGCUUAGAGAUUACAUGGAAUACCAAUUGCGAAGGCAGGUUACUACUAAUGGAUUGACGCUGAUGGACGAAAGCGUGGGUAGCGAACAGGAUUAGAUACCCUGGUAGUCCACGCCGUAAACGAUGGAUACUAGCUGUUGGGGGCAACUUCAGUGGCUAAGCGAAAGUGAUAAGUAUCCCACCUGGGGAGUACGUUCGCAGAAUGAAACCUNAAGAGUAGUACGGACGNGAGAGAGACGACGACGACGACGACGGAGGGAGGAG